GACGAACCGUCCAAACGUUAUUCGGAAUCACUGGGCUUACAGAGUUCGUAGGCGGUCUGGAAAGUUGGGUGUGAAAUCCCUCGGCUCAACCGAGGAACUGCGCUCAAAAUUACCCGACUCGAGGGAGAUAGAGGAAAGCGGAACUGAUGGUGGAGCGGUGAAAUGCGUUGAUAUCAUCAGGAACACCGGUGGCGAAGGCGGCUUUCUGGGUCUUACCUGACGCUGAGGAACGAAAGCUAGGGGAGCGAACGGG
rnacentral:rRNA from 1 species